rnacentral:rRNA from 1 species
GACGAACGCUGGCGGCGUGCUUAACACAUGCAAGUCGAAGGGAAAGGCCCUGCUUUUGUGGGGUCCUGGGUGGCGAACGGGUGAGUUACACGUGAGUUACCCGCCCCUGGACUUGGGAAUACCUUAGGGAACCUGGGGUUAUUCCGGAAUAGGAGCUCCGCCUCAUGGGUGGGGGUUGGAAAGUUUCGGCGGUUGGGGUUGGACUCGCGGCUUAUCAGCUUGUUGGUGGGGUAGUGGCUUACCAGGGCUUUGACGGGUAGCCGGCCUGAGAGGGUGACCGGCCACAUUGGGACUGAGAUACGGCCCAGACUCCUACGGGAGGCAGCAGUGGGGAAUAUUGCACAAUGGGCGGAAGCCUGAUGCAGCAACGCCGCGUGCGGGAUGACGGCCUUCGGGUUGUAAACCGCUUUCGCCUGUGACGAAGCGUGAGUGACGGUAAUGGGUAAAGAAGCACCGGCUAACUACGUG